rnacentral:rRNA from 1 species
UACGUAGGGUGCGAGCGUUAAUCGGAUUUACUGGGCGUAAAGCGUACGCAGGCGGCAUGUUAAGACAGGUGUGAAAUCCCUGGGCUCAACCUAGGAAGUGCACCUGAGACUGGCGAGCUCGAGUACGGUAGAGGGGGGUGGAAUUCCGGGUGUAGCAGUGAAAUGCGUAGAGAUCAGGAGGAACACCGAUGGCGAAGGCAGCCCCCUGGGCCUGUACUGACGCUCAUGCACGAAAGCGUGGGGAGCAAACAGA